rnacentral:rRNA from 1 species
AUGAACGCUGGCGGCGUGCCUAAUACCUGCAAGUCGCGCGAACAGACGAGGAGCUUGCUCCUCUGACGUUAGCGGCGGACGGGUGAGUAACACGUGGAUAACCUACCUAUAAGACUGGGAUAACUUCGGGAAACCGGAGCUAAUACCGGAUAAUAUAUUGAACCGCAUGGUUCAAUAGUGAAAGACGGUUUUGCUGUCACUUAUAGAUGGAUCCGCGCCGCAUUAGCUAGUUGGUAAGGUAACGGCUUACCAAGGCAACGAUGCGUAGCCGACCUGAGAGGGUGAUCGGCCACACUGGAACUGAGACACGGUCCAGACUCCUACGGGAGGCAGCAGUAGGGAAUCUUCCGCAAUGGGCGAAAGCUUGACGGAGCAACGCCGCGUGAGUGAUGAAGGUCUGCGGAUCGUAAAACUCUGUUAUUAGGGAAGAACAAAUGUGUAAGUAACUAUGCACGUCUUGACGGUACCUAAUCAGAAAGCCACGGCUAACUACGU